CAGCAGCCACGGUAAUACAGAGGAUGCAAGCGUUAUCCGGAAUGAUUGGGCGUAAAGGGCUCGCAGGCGGUUUCUUAGGUCUGAUGUGAAAGCCCCCGGCUCAACCGGGGAGGGUCAUUGGAAACUGGGAAACUUGAGUGCAGAAGAGGAGGGUGGAAUUCCACGUGUAGCGGUGAAAUGCGUAGAGAUGUGGAGGAACACCAGUGGCGAAGGCGACUCUCUGGUCUGUAACUGACGCUGAGGAGCGAAAGCGUGGGGAGCGAACAGGAUUAGAUACCCCAGUAGUCCCUGUCUCUUAUAC
rnacentral:rRNA from 1 species